UACAUGGGGUGCAAACGUUGCUCGGAAUUAUUGGGCGUAAAGCGCACGUAGGUGGUUUGUUAUGUCGGAUGUGAAAGCCCUCGGCUCAACUGAGGAAGUGCAUCCGAAACUGGCAAGCUAGAGUAUGGGAGAGGGAAGUGGAAUUUCCGGUGUAGCGGUGAAAUGCGUAGAUAUCGGAAGGAACAUCAGUGGCGAAGGCGACUUCCUGGACCAAUACUGACGCUCAGGUGCGAAAGCGUGGGGAGCAAACAGG
rnacentral:rRNA from 1 species